rnacentral:rRNA from 1 species
CAGUGCCGCGGUAAUACGAAGGGUGCAAGCGUUAAUCGGAAUUACUGGGCGUAAAGCGCGCGUAGGUGGUUUGGUAAGAUGGAUGUGAAAUCCCCGGGCUCAACCUGGGAACUGCAUCCAUAACUGCCUGACUAGAGUACGGUAGAGGGUGGUGGAAUUUCCUGUGUAGCGGUGAAAUGCGUAGAUAUAGGAAGGAACACCAGUGGCGAAGGCGACCACCUGGACUGAUACUGACACUGAGGUGCGAAAGCGUGGGGAGCAAACAGGAUUAGAUACCCCCGUAGUCCCUGUCUCUUAUACC